rnacentral:tRNA from 1 species
CAUUAAGAAGCUUUUUAUAGCACUAGCCUUUUAAGCUAGAGAAGGGGAAUUAAAAUCCUCCUUAGUGGA